GUCCUUUGUAUGUGUUUGAUUUAAUAGUUAAAGUAAAGAAGGUAAAGUGAAAUGUGAUUUAUAUAGAUAUUUUCAAGAUAAAUAUCAUAGUGUCUUAGAGCAGAGUGACCUGUUUCUGAAACAGAAAUGGACCACAAAGUAAGUUUAAAAAGCUGAGGUUUUAGCUGCUUUUAACAAAUGCCACUGAGUUCACAGAUCUCUGUGGGAGAGAGCUCCAGAGUCUGUGAGCCACUGUCUCCAUGCAGAGCUCUAAAAAUCAAAACCAGUAUCUUAUAUGUGUCUCUGAAGCUAAUAGGGAGGCAGUGCAAUUGAAUUAUCAAUGGUGUGACAUGUAAUUACAAUUCUGACAAAAACCAUUCUGAGCAAGUUUUGAUAAGACAGUUGAAAAGAAGCUCCGUGGAGUCUUCCAUUAAAAAAAUUAGUUUCUUGCCAAAAUUCACUUUUUGUGUUCAGCUUCAAUCGAGGUUUUCUCAAGCAACAUUUACAGAGCCAGUUCCUGUAAUAUUUCAAACCCUGUAUCCAUAUUUGUCAAAGUCUUAGGAUUAGUGACAUGAGUGAGGUUUGAGGUAAAACUGCAUUUUUAAGCCUUUUAAAAUAUAUAUAGAAGCAUUAUGCAGUCAUUUGAAAAUCUUAUAAACCCUCAUUUAGAAAAUGUAUUAUUUUCUCUGUUACACUAUGAAUAAAGCAUAUAGAGUAUAGAAGUAUAGACAUAGAACAUUUUGUGAGUUUCAUAGGCUUAAAAGUACAUCUUUUUUAGAGUUAAAGACUGUCCACCUCCAUUUACUGUCAUUUUGGUUUUGUCAUCUUGGUCAUUCCAUUAGAGAAAGACGAAAAACAAACAAACAUCUAUUAAUUGAAAAAUCAGGUUAUUGAGUAUAUUCAGAUAAUCUGUUGGCAUCAUUUUUUGGAUAUAUCCGCCACACAAACUGCCUAUUCUUCAUCCUUUAUGUUAUUCAAUUUCAAUUAAUGUGCAUCUUAAAUAAUUAACUGUAUUUAUCUUAGAUAAAAUGUGUUUUAGGGAUGCAUUCAAAACUCCUCCUAUAAAUGUUCACAGUGUUCAAACAUUGAAUGUCAACAGAUUACACAGUUGUUUUCAGCAUGCUGGACUGUUUGUGUUUCAGCCUGUGGUUAGUCUGUUAACAUAAGCCAGCAGCUCUGUGGUUGUCCACUUUCCUGUUUCUGAUGUAACACCUCAACGGCUCAGGAUUUACUGCAGGGCAGUAAAAUAUUAUUAUUUUUUUUUAACUCUGUGUAGGCACAAUUAAUAUUAAAGUUGUAUGACAUCUUAACAUCUUCACCAGUUGGUGCAUUCCCACCAUUAUCAGCAUCUCUCCAUCCUCUAUAAACACUCUGAUCUGGGUCAGAGUGAGUAUCAGAUCUGUUUUCAUUUUCAAAAUAGUAAAUUUAUGUAAGAAAAAACGAAACUCUCCAGUUCUUGUAUUCAUACCUAUCAUCUGUCUUACUUGUACCUGGGAUAAGGUGCCAGCAACAUCUGCACAAAGCAGCUGUUUCACUGCUAGUUGCUGAUGGAAGAAAUGUUUUCAUUCAUUUUUUCAUUAUGUCCAAUUUAAAUUUGAAUACUGGACACAAAAGAAUAAUUUUGCAAUAUAAUUUAGAUAUUAACAUUAGUAUCUAUAGGACUGUACUGCCUUCAGUGAUUUUCUCCAUGUGUGUUUUAUUGUGCAGGGACUGAUCCAGCUGCAGUCUACUCAGCAGUGAGAACUGAAGAUGUCAAUUAUGGGCAAAUCACCAUCAAAGAGAAGCAAAGAAAAUCAAAGAAAAGAGAGUGUGAUCCAGCUGCAGUCUAUUCAUCAGUGCGAACUGGAGACGUCAGUUAUGAUCAAAUCACCAUCAAAGAGAAGAAAAACAGAUCUAAGAGCAGAGGAAAGAUGACCACAGGGGUUCUGAAACCUGCUGACAGUUUCUAAGAAAUCUGCUCAAGAUGCUGACUGGGAAAUAAUAACUCUACUUUUAACACACAUCCUGUAUACUGACAGCACUUUAAGUUUCACUACUUGCAUUGAUGUCUUUUCAGACAUUGUUCCUCAAAAAGCCUCAAAAACCUUUUAAUUUGUUGUUAGUGCAUGCAACAACUAAUAUAGUGACUAUAAAGCAGAGGUAAUAGCAUUAAUAGAUUAUUGACCCUUAUGUGGAGCCAUGAGGAGACCACAGCCAACUUCUAAAGUCUUGUCGCCUACAAUCAGUGUUAAAGCCCUUUACGAGGCUGCAGAUAAACUCUUAGAACUUGAGUUAACUUUUAUAGCAGAACCUUUUUUAAAAGAAGAAUUUCUUCACAACUCUUGUUCGUAUGGGCACAUUUUAAUCACGUUUAAAGUGACAUCACAAUGACCUGAAUGUUUCUAGCUCUAAGUUUCUCACAUGUUUAAGAAUGAGUCUUGGGUCAACUUUCAACCUGGACAUUAUUAUUUAUUUUUAUCUGGUCACAUGGUGCUCUAUAUCUCAUUUGUGCCCAUCUCAGUCCAGCACCUUGAGCGUUUACUGAGAAAUACUUAUCUGUCAUCAGGUUGUAAGUCAUUAUCAGCAGAGGUUUAGAGUAAAACCAUUGUGAGACUUUACCUGUGAUGAGGCAUUUGGUGUCAGAACUGAAGAAGAUUCUUAGUUGAAAGGUGUGAUGUCAAGAAACGUGAUGAAGUCCAGUCACAUUCUUUCCGAACAACAGAUACAGAGAUGGUUUUCUUGAGGCUGAAAGAAUUCUGAUUGUUUUUAACUGGGAACUGAAGGAGCUUGGAAUUGGCUGAUUGUGUAUGUUAUAAUCUUAACAAGUGUUUUUAAUAUAACAUGCAACAAAAUAAAACCCAAUUCACAACGUUAAAGAAAUUGUAGAGCCUGAAGAACCAAAACACCAAAAUUUUAAAAUGAUGUUUCUUAUACACUUCACAUAUACAAUUACAGUAUUGAGCAAAGUCUUGAGCCACCCCUCUUUUUUAAAAUUUUGUAUCCAAGGAGAUGCAAAAUAAGAAAUUAUUUUCUUGUAAUACAUUAAAGUGGUCUUGAGUAAUAUUUCUCCAGGCUUCCUGAAGUUUUGUUUUGGACAUUGGCUUAUUUUUUUCACUCAUUUUCAUCCCAGUUUCCAUUUUCAACUUUGAGUAGGGGAAUGGGUCCUUACUGUCUGUCUGUUCAAACAUGCUGAAUGACUGUUUUGAGCAGUUGUCCCCAACCGGUACCGGUACCAAACGACUGGCCCGGUACCAGUCGUUUGGUACCGGGCCGCGAGAGUUGAGACUCGGGUGUGAAAUUGAUGGGAUUUUUAGGGUUGGUAUUAUUAUUUUUUAAGUUGUUUUUAUCGUUGACUCGGUUUCCAUGGGUCUUUUCCCAUGUGUUAUGAAUAAAUCUAAAAGAUUUUUGGUACUGGUACUGGUUUUAUUUUCUUGUAUUUUUCCGCGACACCCUAAAGGCUGGUCCGUGAAAAUAUUGUCAGUCCUAAACCAGUUCGUGGGGCAAAAAAGGUUUGGGACUGCUGGUUUAGCGUAUCUGGCCUUCAUGCAUAACCAUCUGCUUACCCAGCUCUGGGUAAUGAACCUCCAUGACAAACCCUCAUUCACACUCACAUUCUUACUUGUGGCCAGUUCUGAAAGAACAAUAGAAAUCUUUAAUAGCUCUUUGUCAAUUAAAUAGUUAACAUUAGACCUCUGAAUUAAACCAUCUUUAAGGUAAAUGGACCUUGUGUGUUUUCUGCAUGUGAAAGUCUCCCUGACCAAGAUUAAAAGUUAUACAUGUUUAAGACUCUGCUCUUAAAACCACAGCAGCCUCUUAAUCUACUUGUUGUUUCCACUGAACUGAUGUGUGAUACUUAUUAGAUAUUUUACACCACAGUGUAUAUACUUUGUGACAAAGUUUAGUCUGUUUGGCGUUUCGCGGUAAAAUGUGUGUUCUUCUUCUAGUAUUAAUCACAAAUGACCAAAUAUAAUGGGCGGGUCCUUGUUCUUACUCAGUUAAACUUCAUUACAUCAUCUAUAUCAUGGACGUCUGGGUGCUGAACUUUCUUGUAACACCCGGACAAACAGCUGAAAGAAUUUGGCCCCAGGAAUCAGUGUAUAAUACUACAAAUGAUACAGUUUAUUAAAGUGAUUAAAUCCCUUGCUGUGGGUCAUGGGCAAAUUACUUUGCCAAAGGAUAAUGUUGAAGUUUAGAUUUAUGCUCAUAUUUAAUGAUUUAUGAGUCCCAUGUUAACGUUCAGUGUGAGCACAGGAUGUGGUUUAAACUUAGUGAAGAGUUUGAAUUUAAGGGAGGUGAAACCACUGCCUGUUUGUUUUGCACUCUUUGGUCACUUGCAGCUUUUUUGUUGUUAUCCACAGGAUUCACGUAUUUGAGCUGCCCUGCUGGAAGCAUUUUCAGAUUUUGUCUUUCUUUGAGUUUGAAUUGAACACCCAAUAAAAAGAUUACCUAUAUAUGUGAAUAGGUUUCCAAUUUGAAAAUUUAAAUUUUCGUGGAGCUCAUCAGUAUGUUUCUUUUUUUUUAAAACAGGAAGGCUCUGAGUCACAAGUCUUGGUUGGUCUAUUUCACAUUAAAAGCUUAUUUGUGACAGUUUAGCUUCAAGACAGGGGCGAUUCUAGGAUCAGAGCUUUGGGGGUGCUGAGCACCCAGAGAGCUGGCCAUCCAGGCAAGGUAAACUUUACUCGUCACGAUGAGACUUCUUCCCUGUC